GCAGUCGAGCGAGCAGAACCAGCAGAUUUACUUCGGUAAUGACGCUGGGGACGCGAGCGGCGGAUGGGUGAGUAACACGUGGGGAACCUGCCCCAUAGUCUGGGAUACCACUUGGAAACAGGUGCUAAUACCGGAUAAGAAAGCAGAUCGCAUGAUCAGCUUAUAAAAGGCGGCGUAAGCUGUCGCUAUGGGAUGGCCCCGCGGUGCAUUAGCUAGUUGGUAAGGUAACGGCUUACCAAGGCGAUGAUGCAUAGCCGAGUUGAGAGACUGAUCGGCCACAUUGGGACUGAGACACGGCCCAAACUCCUACGGGAGGCAGCAGUAGGGAAUCUUCCACAAUGGACGCAAGUCUGAUGGAGCAACGCCGCGUGAGUGAAGAAGGUUUUCGGAUCGUAAAGCUCUGUUGUUGGUGAAGAAGGAUAGAGGUAGUAACUGGCCUUUAUUUGACGGUAAUCAACCAGAAAGUCACGGCUAACUACGUGCCAGCAGCCGCGGUAAUACGUAGGUGGCAAGCGUUGUCCGGAUUUAUUGGGCGUAAAGCGAGCGCAGGCGGAAAAAUAAGUCUGAUGUGAAAGCCCUCGGCUUAACCGAGGAACUGCAUCGGAAACUGUUUUUCUUGAGUGCAGAAGAGGAGAGUGGAACUCCAUGUGUAGCGGUGGAAUGCGU
rnacentral:rRNA from 1 species